rnacentral:tRNA from 1 species
GUGGGUAUAGCUCAGUCGGCAGAGCACAAGGUUGUGGUCCUUGGGGUCGAGGGUUCGAGCCCCUCUACUCACCCCA